AUAUGAAUAUUCAGUGAGUGGCUUUGCAUUAAGUAAGUGCCCUUAAUCAGCUUUUCAGUUCAGUUUUAUUGGUUGCACGCACAGUCAGUUAUUUCAUCCAGAAAAUCUGAAGGCCCUACAAACUAACCAGGUACAAUAUUGAAGAAAAGCAAGUGAUGCUGGGGCAUGUUCACCAUUGCCCAUAGGUUCUGA
rnacentral:lncRNA from 1 species